rnacentral:rRNA from 1 species
AACGAACGCUGGCGGCAUGCCUAACACAUGCAAGUCGAACGAGACCUUCGGGUCUAGUGGCGCACGGGUGCGUAACGCGUGGGAACCUGCCCUUAGGUUCGGAAUAACUCCCCGAAAGGGGUGCUAAUACCGGAUAAUGUCUUCGGACCAAAGAUUUAUCGCCUUUGGAUGGGCCCGCGUUGGUUUAGCUAGUUGGUAGGGUAAAAGCCUACCAAGGCGACGAUACAUAGCUGGUCUGAGAGGAUGAUCAGCCACACUGGGACUGAGACACGGCCCAGACUCCUACGGGAGGCAGCAGUGGGGAAUAUUGGACAAUGGGCGAAAGCCUGAUCCAGCAAUGCCGCGUGAGUGAUGAAGGCCUUAGGGUUGUAAAGCUCUUUUACCCGGGAUGAUAAUGACAGUACCGGGAGAAUAAGCACCGGCUAACUCCGUG